rnacentral:lncRNA from 1 species
UUUGAGAUGUGGCAUCUCACAUACAACGUUUCAGUUCUACGUCUUAACUUAGGGUUUUUCUCAAGCUUGGGUUUUAGUUUCACACAUACAAAUCCCAACCAAAUAAUAUGUAGAAUAAUAAUAAAAUGAAAUAUAAAAUAAAAUAAAAAGCAUAAGAAUAAAAAAUAAAAAGCACAUAGAUAAAUAAAAACAGGAAGUAAAUAAAAAGAAGCAA